rnacentral:piRNA from 1 species
CUCACUAUCAUGGCCUCUGUUC